rnacentral:rRNA from 1 species
GACGAACGCUGGCGGCACGCCUAACACAUGCAAGUCGAGCGGAGAAUUAAGCUUGCUUAAUUUUUAGCGGCGGACGGGUGAGUAACACGUGAGCAACCUGCCUUUCAGAGGGGGAUAACGUUUGGAAACGAACGCUAAUACCGCAUAACGUACAGACAUCACAUGGUGAUUGUACCAAAGGAGUAAUCCGCUGAAAGAUGGGCUCGCGUCUGAUUAGCUAGUUGGUGAGGUAAUGGCUCACCAAGGCGACGAUCAGUAGCCGGACUGAGAGGUCGAUCGGCCACAUUGGGACUGAGACACGGCCCAGACUCCUACGGGAGGCAG